ACAUAGGCAUCCUAGUACGGCGAGUGAGCGGGAAGAGCUCAAAUUUGAAAUCUGGCAGUCUUCGAUUGUCCGAGUUGUAAUCUAUAGAGGCGUUUUCCGUGCCGGACCGUGUCCAAGUCUCCUGGAAAGGAGUAUCAAAGAGGGUGAUAAUCCCGUACUUAACACGAUAACCGGUGCUCUGUGAUACGUCUUCUACGAGUCGAGUUGUUUGGGAAUGCAGCUCAAAAUGGGUGGUGAAUUCCAUCUAAAGCUAAAUAUUGGCGAGAGACCGAUAGCGAACAAGUACCGUGAGGGAAAGAUGAAAAGCACUUUGGAAAGAGAGUUAAACAGUACGUGAAAUUGUUGAAAGGGAAACGAUUGAAGUCAGUCGUGUUCUUUGGAUUCAGCCAGUUCUGCUGGUCUACUUCCUUAGAACGGGUCAACAUCAGUUUUGUCCGGUGGAUAAAGGUAGUAGGAAUGUAGCUUCUUUGAAGUGUUAUAGCCUAUUGCCACAUACACUGGGUGAGACUGAGGACUGCAGCUCGCCUUUAUGGCCGGUCUUCGGACACGUUCGAGCUUAGGAUGUUGACAUAAUGGCUUUAAACGACCCGUCUUGAA
rnacentral:rRNA from 1 species